UACGUAGGGUGCAAGCGUUGUCCGGAAUUAUUGGGCGUAAAGAGCUCGUAGGCGGUCUGUCGCGUCGGCUGUGAAAACUCGGGGCUCAACUCCGAGCUUGCAGUCGAUACGGGCAGGCUAGAGUUCGGCAGGGGAGACUGGAAUUCCUGGUGUAGCGGUGAAAUGCGCAGAUAUCAGGAGGAACACCGGUGGCGAAGGCGGGUCUCUGGGCCGAUACUGACGCUGAGACGCGAAAGCGUGGGGAGCAAACAGG
rnacentral:rRNA from 1 species